GUUAACUCUGAUUGGAUCUCUCUUCUUUUUUCAUUUUGCAGUAUGGCAAUGAACUCUAUAAUCUGGUUACUGAUCAAGGCUAUUUGAAUGAGCGAGACUUGGUUUGGGAGAAACUAAACGAGGUGAAUGGCGAUUCAGUUUUCGUGGAUGGUGACUUCAAGGUCUUCAAGUGUGAGAGUGGCAACUGGGAUCAACAAAAUGCACUUAGUAGUACUGCGGAUUAUAUCUACAGCAUCAACAGUGCAUCAAAAGAAGGCAUGGAGGUUGAUCCCGAUCUUAAAAUGGCGAUGGAGUUGCAGGAACAAGAGUUGGCUGAAGACAUUGGUUUUGAGGUAUCAAUGAAGAAGCAGUCACAUGUCUUCUUCUUCUUCAGUACAAGAAGUGAAAGCAGUCCAACGAUGGUCCAAAGAUGGCAUAUGUACAAUCAUGAAUGUAAAUUCUCCUCCUUGCCCUGUAAAGGUUAGCUUCUUUUUCUUUCCAUUGAUUUUGAUUGUUUGGGUUUACAAAUAAAUUAUAGAUUUAGCUAAAUCAAUCAGAGCUUUUCGAUUCUUGCUUGGUUUCAUUCCUUGGUCCUUUGUAAUUUUGUUUCUUUAGUCAAAUUUUUGUAGUGAAUUUUGAUUCAAUCGUGUAAAUGGAAUCAAUGAAUGUAUGAAUAUUUUGAGAA